rnacentral:misc_RNA from 1 species
GAAAUGCGAUAAGUAGUGUGAAUUCCAGAAUUCAGUGAAUCAUCGAAUCUUUGAACGCACAUUGCGCCCCUUGGUAUUCCAUGGGGCAUGCCUGUUCGAGCGUCAUUUGUACCCUCAAGCUCUGCUUGGUGUUGGGUGUUUGUCCCCGUCUCCGCGCGUGGACUCGCCCCAAAGUGAUUGGCAGCCGGCGUACUGGUCCCGGAGCGCAGCACAUGUCGCGCAAACGAGUGCCUUGGUACGGCGGCGUCCAUAAGCCCCUCUCUCACGCUCUUGACCUCGGAUCAGGUAGGGAUACCCGCUGAACUUAAGC